GAGUAACCACACCUGCAAGGGGGGAUAACUUCGGGAAACCGAGGCUAAUACCGCGUAAGACCACAGCCUCACAUGGGGCAGGGGUCAAAGGAGCAAUCCGAUGCAGGACGGACUCGCGUCCCAUUAGAUAGUUGGCGGGGUAAAGGCCCACCAAGUCGACGAUGGGUAGCCGGGCUGAGAGGUUGGCCGGCCACACUGGGACUGAGACACGGCCCAGACUCCUACGGGAGGCAGCAGUGGGGAAUAUUGGGCAAUGGGGGAAACCCUGACCCAGCAACGCCGCGUAAAGGAAGAAGGUCUUCGGAUUGUAAACUUUUGUCCCAUGGGAAGAAAAAAAUGACGGUACCAUGGGAGGAAGCCCCGGCUAACUACGUGCCAGCAGCCGCGGUAAUACGUAGGGGGCGAGCGUUGUCCGGAAUUACUGGGCGUAAAGGGUGCGCAGGCGGCUUGUCAAGUCAUGUGUGAAAUACCCAGGCUUAACUUG
rnacentral:rRNA from 1 species